rnacentral:snRNA from 1 species
UUCAUAUUUAAAGGAGUGAAUAGCAUAAUAGAGAGAAGAUUAGCAUGGCCCCUGCACAAGGAUGACAUGCAAAUUUGCGAAGCAUCCCAUAAACAA